UGUUAGUAAAGAUCACAUGCGCCUGCGAUCUUGUUCGCGCCUAGGCGACCUUUACUUCAUGUUAGUAUACUCUUGUGGCUUGUCUUGGCCUCGUUGUUGUUUUAUUCAUAACAUGGUAUCAAAGACUACCAUUUAAAGUCGUCGUUUUAGCUUCGCGGUCGAGUGCCCUCUCAAACAUUGGCGGAGGGUCCUAUGACUAUGCUAUGAGUGACUUAGUCACUGUGACUAUAUAAGUCCAUAAAUUUUGAUAUCUGAACAAAAUU